UACGGGGUGCAGCAGGCGCGAAAACUUUACAAUGCUGGCAACAGCGAUAAGGGAACCUCGAGUGCCAGGUUACAAAUCUGGCUGUCGAGAUGCCUAAAAAGCAUUUCAUAGCAAGGGCCGGGCAAGACCGGUGCCAGCCGCCGCGGUAACACCGGCGGCUCGAGUGGUAACCGUUAUUAUUGGGUCUAAAGGGUCUGUAGCCGGCCGGAUAAGUCUCUUGAGAAAUCUGGCAGCUUAACUGUCAGGCUUUCAGGAGAUACUGUCUGGCUCGAGGCCGGGAGAGGUGAGAGGUACUUCAGGGGUAGGGGUGAAAUCUUGUAAUCCUUGAAGGACCACCAGUGGCGAAGGCGUCUCACCAGAACGGACCUGACGGCAAGGGACGAAAGCUAGGGGCACGAACCGGAUUAGAUACCCGGGUAGUCCUAGCCGUAAACGAUACUCGCUAGGUGUCGGCCACGGUGCGACCGUUGUCGGUGCCGUAGGGAAGCCGUGAAGCGAGC
rnacentral:rRNA from 1 species